rnacentral:rRNA from 1 species
GUGGGGUAAUUUUCCGCAAUGGGACGAAAGCCUGACGGAGCAAUGCCGCGUGGAGGUGGAAGGCCUACGGGUCGUCAACUUCUUUUCUCGGAGAAGAAACAAUGACGGUAUCUGAGGAAUAAGCAUCGGCUAACUCUGUGCCAA